rnacentral:rRNA from 1 species
GGAAUUGUUCGCAAUGGGCGCAAGCCUGACGACGCAACGCCGCGUGGAGGAUGAAGGUCUUCGGAUUGUAAACUCCUGUUGCCCGGGACGAAUGGCUCCGACCUAACACGACGGGGUGUGACGGUACCGGGUGAGGAAGCCCCGGCUAACUAUGUGACAGCGGCCGCGGUAAUACAGAGGGGGCAAGCGUUGUUCGGCAUUACUGGGCGUAAAGGGCGCGUAGGCGGCCUGCUAAGUCGAACGUGAACUCCCUGGGCUCAACCCAGGAACUGCGUCCGAUACUGGUUGGCUUGAAUCCGGGAGAGGGAUGCGGAAUUCCAGGUGUAGCGGUGAAAUGCGUAGAUAUCUGGAGGAACACCGGUGGCGAAGGCGGCAUCCUGGACCGGCAUUGACGCUGAGGCGCGAAAGCCAGGGGAGCAAA